AUAUCUGUUAAUUGCUUUACAAUAAAAGGGAUAUUUAACCUGCUCUGAAUCAGAGUGCUUAUUGCCCAUGCUUCCAAGUUGCUACAUCAUAAAAGAAGCUAAGAUUAUAAUACGACGUAGAUAGGUGGUAGUUUUGCUACAUGCACCCCAUUGUGAUAGGGGAUAUGGAGAAGUUAUUAUUAAUACUAAAACAUAGUUCAAACUACUAAACUUGUGAAAUGCCCUGCUAUUGACUGCUUUUUAUAUUUUUUCCAUGCGACUUGCAUACCUGUAUUGGCCAUCACUUCUGGUCAAAACUUCCUUUUAUUUGGUUCCAGUGUUUCUUCCCCUUGAUUCCUUACUUUCCCUGGAUGUUGUUUCUCAUACAGGGCACAACUGAAUGCCAUCAUAUAACGUUUUUGAAAGUCACCAAAUAAGUAACUCACCUUCAGGAUUUUCAACAUUAGAUGCAACAGUUGUUCUAGGCAGUAUAUGUCUGUGGAAUGAUUAGAGGUUUAGAACAUGUUUCAUGGAUAUGAAUUCCAGUGGGACUUGUUUUAAUUGUGACUUGGUAACAAUAUUAGAGCUGUCUUUCUAACAAAUGUUCCACUUCUUUAUUUUUGGUGUACAAAAUAACUAUGGGAGAAAUCAACUUGUAUUUUUUCCUAGUACAGGAGUAGAGCAUGAGCACAAUCCAGCAUGAUGCGAUCUCAGGUGCUAUUGCGUAGCCAAAAUACAAAAUCAGUUGGAGGAAGCGGUUUGAUGUCCAAAAGGCCCAGUGGAGGGGGAGCCAGGAGCCAAGUGGCAAUCUUGCUUUCAAUAAAAUAUUUUUUAUUUUCCUAUAGGUAUGGCUUGGUGUGUUCUCUUACGUUAAUCCUGAAGCUCAUGUGUGUAUCCGUGAAUUUAUCUGAACACAAUCAUGCAUUCAGAAUCAUUAUUUUAAAAAAAAAAAGUUGAGGGAGAUGCAGUAGGUAAUGUGCUAUGAGUUGCUGCAUAUAUAAAUACGCAAGCAUUACUGUACAGAAAGGACUUCAGACCCUUUUUCUUGCACUUGAGUAUGUCUGCUUCACUGCUUUCAGUACAGCUCCACAAUGCAGAACUAUUUUUCUUGUGGUUUGCGUGAGCCCCUCAGAGCAAGUGCCUUGGCAACUGCUGGUGCUAGCUUGGGAGGAUAGAGAAGACUGUUUGUUUCUUCUUGCCCAAUUUACCCACAAAACUAGUUCUCUAGUUCUGCAUGCUAUAAAAAAAUAAUCUUUGUCAAAAAGAUUUUCCCUUCAGAAAUUUUUAAAUGAGAACAGCUGCUUUUUAGAGCAGCUAGAACUGUUAACCAGGACUCCAUUAGAAAAUGGCUUCUAGCUCUUUAAAUCAAUAAAAGGAUAAUCAGUAAUCUUACCGCUUGAGUUUUUUUGUGUAAGUUUAAAUCUAGCUGAGAGAGCUAGUGAGUUCCUUGAAGGAAAAGAGUCACUAGAUAACAGUUGAAUAUUCUUCCAAGACCCAGUAUUAAAUGCAUACUCCUCUACUAACCAGUCAUCUCUAAUUACUGUAAUCUGAGUCUGUAUGACUUGUUAACAAAAUGCAGUUAAGUCAUUCAGUUUGCAUUUACUUUCCUUUGGCUUACUGUGAAUGCUUGGAUUGAUUUAAUUGGGUUCAUGUACACAUGGAAUAACUGAAGGUAUUUCUUGAGAAACCACU